UUAAGCGACUAAGCGUACACGGUGGAUGCCCUGGCAGUCAGAGGCGAUGAAGGACGUGCUAAUCUGCGAUAAGCGUCGGUAAGGUGAUAUGAACCGUUAUAACCGGCGAUUUCCGAAUGGGGAAACCCAGUGUGUUUCGACACACUAUCAUUAACUGAAUCCAUAGGUUAAUGAGGCGAACCGGGGGAACUGAAACAUCUAAGUACCCCGAGGAAAAGAAAUCAACCGAGAUUCCCCCAGUAGCGGCGAGCGAACGGGGAGCAGCCCAGAGCCUGAAUCAGUGUGUGUGUUAGUGGAAGCGUCUGGAAAGGCGCGCGAUACAGGGUGACAGCCCCGUACACAAAAAUGCACAUAUUGUGAGCUCGAUGAGUAGGGCGGGACACGUGGUAUCCUGUCUGAAUAUGGGGGGACCAUCCUCCAAGGCUAAAUACUCCUGACUGACCGAUAGUGAACCAGUACCGUGAGGGAAAGGCGAAAAGAACCCCGGCGAGGGGAGUGAAAAAGAACCUGAAACCGUGUACGUACAAGCAGUGGGAGCACGCUUAGGCGUGUGACUGCGUACCUUUUGUAUAAUGGGUCAGCGACUUAUAUUCUGUAGCAAGGUUAACCGAAUAGGGGAGCCGAAGGGAAACCGAGUCUUAACUGGGCGUUAAGUUGCAGGGUAUAGACCCGAAACCCGGUGAUCUAGCCAUGGGCAGGUUGAAGGUUGGGUAACACUAACUGGAGGACCGAACCGACUAAUGUUGAAAAAUUAGCGGAUGACUUGUGGCUGGGGGUGAAAGGCCAAUCAAACCGGGAGAUAGCUGGUUCUCCCCGAAAGCUAUUUAGGUAGCGCCUCGUGAAUUCAUCUCCGGGGGUAGAGCACUGUUUCGGCAAGGGGGUCAUCCCGACUUACCAACCCGAUGCAAACUGCGAAUACCGGAGAAUGUUAUCACGGGAGACACACGGCGGGUGCUAACGUCCGUCGUGAAGAGGGAAACAACCCAGACCGCCAGCUAAGGUCCCAAAGUCAUGGUUAAGUGGGAAACGAUGUGGGAAGGCCCAGACAGCCAGGAUGUUGGCUUAGAAGCAGCCAUCAUUUAAAGAAAGCGUAAUAGCUCACUGGUCGAGUCGGCCUGCGCGGAAGAUGUAACGGGGCUAAACCAUGCACCGAAGCUGCGGCAGCGACGCUUAUGCGUUGUUGGGUAGGGGAGCGUUCUGUAAGCCUGUGAAGGUGUGCUGUGAGGCAUGCUGGAGGUAUCAGAAGUGCGAAUGCUGACAUAAGUAACGAUAAAGCGGGUGAAAAGCCCGCUCGCCGGAAGACCAAGGGUUCCUGUCCAACGUUAAUCGGGGCAGGGUGAGUCGACCCCUAAGGCGAGGCCGAAAGGCGUAGUCGAUGGGAAACAGGUUAAUAUUCCUGUACUUGGUGUUACUGCGAAGGGGGGACGGAGAAGGCUAUGUUGGCCGGGCGACGGUUGUCCCGGUUUAAGCGUGUAGGCUGGUUUUCCAGGCAAAUCCGGAAAAUCAAGGCUGAGGCGUGAUGACGAGGCACUACGGUGCUGAAGCAACAAAUGCCCUGCUUCCAGGAAAAGCCUCUAAGCAUCAGGUAACAUCAAAUCGUACCCCAAACCGACACAGGUGGUCAGGUAGAGAAUACCAAGGCGCUUGAGAGAACUCGGGUGAAGGAACUAGGCAAAAUGGUGCCGUAACUUCGGGAGAAGGCACGCUGAUAUGUAGGUGAAGCGACUUGCUCGUGGAGCUGAAAUCAGUCGAAGAUACCAGCUGGCUGCAACUGUUUAUUAAAAACACAGCACUGUGCAAACACGAAAGUGGACGUAUACGGUGUGACGCCUGCCCGGUGCCGGAAGGUUAAUUGAUGGGGUCAGCGCAAGCGAAGCUCUUGAUCGAAGCCCCGGUAAACGGCGGCCGUAACUAUAACGGUCCUAAGGUAGCGAAAUUCCUUGUCGGGUAAGUUCCGACCUGCACGAAUGGCGUAAUGAUGGCCAGGCUGUCUCCACCCGAGACUCAGUGAAAUUGAACUCGCUGUGAAGAUGCAGUGUACCCGCGGCAAGACGGAAAGACCCCGUGAACCUUUACUAUAGCUUGACACUGAACAUUGAGCCUUGAUGUGUAGGAUAGGUGGGAGGCUUAGAAGUGUGGACGCCAGUCUGCAUGGAGCCGACCUUGAAAUACCACCCUUUAAUGUUUGAUGUUCUAACGUUGACCCGUAAUCCGGGUUGCGGACAGUGUCUGGUGGGUAGUUUGACUGGGGCGGUCUCCUCCUAAAGAGUAACGGAGGAGCACGAAGGUUGGCUAAUCCUGGUCGGACAUCAGGAGGUUAGUGCAAUGGCAUAAGCCAGCUUGACUGCGAGCGUGACGGCGCGAGCAGGUGCGAAAGCAGGUCAUAGUGAUCCGGUGGUUCUGAAUGGAAGGGCCAUCGCUCAACGGAUAAAAGGUACUCCGGGGAUAACAGGCUGAUACCGCCCAAGAGUUCAUAUCGACGGCGGUGUUUGGCACCUCGAUGUCGGCUCAUCACAUCCUGGGGCUGAAGUAGGUCCCAAGGGUAUGGCUGUUCGCCAUUUAAAGUGGUACGCGAGCUGGGUUUAGAACGUCGUGAGACAGUUCGGUCCCUAUCUGCCGUGGGCGCUGGAGAACUGAGGGGGGCUGCUCCUAGUACGAGAGGACCGGAGUGGACGCAUCACUGGUGUUCGGGUUGUCAUGCCAAUGGCACUGCCCGGUAGCUAAAUGCGGAAGAGAUAAGUGCUGAAAGCAUCUAAGCACGAAACUUGCCCCGAGAUGAGUUCUCCCUGACUCCUUGAGAGUCCUGAAGGAACGUUGAAGACGACGACGUUGAUAGGCCGGGUGUGUAAGCGCAGCGAUGCGUUGAGCUAACCGGUACUAAUGAACCGUGAGGCUUAACCUU
rnacentral:rRNA from 1 species